GGAGGACAAGGGGGAGGAGGACGAGGAAGACGAGGAGAACGAGGAUUUCUGAACGACAUAACCCGAGGUGGUUAGCGGUGGUCGUUGGAGGUGGUCGGUGGUGGUUGCGGGUGAUCGAGCGUGACGGGGAGAAAGACAAGGAGGAGAAGGACGAGGAUUUGUGCAUGGUAUAACCCGAGGUGGUUAUCGGUGGUUGUUGGAGGUGGUUGACGGUGGUUGGAGGUGGUUGGAGGUGGUCGGAGGUGGACGAGGAGGAGAACAAAAAAGACGAGGAGAACAAGGUGGACGAGGAAGACGAGGAUUUAAGCUCGGUGUAUAUCAUUCUAAAGUAUUGAAUACAGUAGGAGUAAGAG